rnacentral:tRNA from 1 species
GGAGAGAUGACCGAGCGGUCGAAGGUGCGCGCCUGGAAAGCGCGUGUGCCCCGACAAGGGGCACCGAGGGUUCGAAUCCCUCUCUCUCCGCCA